UACGGAGGAUGCAAGCGUUAUCCGGAUUUAUUGGGUUUAAAGGGUGCGCAGGCGGGAGAUUAAGUCGGCGGUGAAAUUUUGCAGCUCAACUGUAAAAGUGCCUUCGAAACUGGUUUCCUUGAGUGUAGAUGAAGUAGGCGGAAUUUGUGGUGUAGCGGUGAAAUGCUUAGAGAUCACACAGAAUAUCGAUUGCGAAGGCAGCUCACAAAGCCAAGAUUGACGCUGAGGCACGAAAGUGUGGGGAUCAAACAGGAUUAGAUA
rnacentral:rRNA from 1 species